rnacentral:rRNA from 1 species
UGGGGAAUAUUGGGCAAUGGAGGAAACUCUGACCCAGCGACGCCGCGUGCGGGAUGAAGGCCUUCGGGUUGUAAACCGCUUUCAGUAGGGAAGAAGCGAAAGUGACGGUACCUACAAAAGAAGCACCGGCUAACUAUGUGCCAGCAGCCGCGGUAAUACAUAGGGUGCAAGCGUUGUCCGGAAUUAUUGGGCGUAAAGAGCUCGUAGGUCGUUUGUUACGUCGGAUGUGAAAACCUGAGGCUCAACCUCAGGCCUGCAUUCGAUACGGGCAAACUAGAGUUUGGUAGGGGAGACUGGAAUUCCUGGUGUAGCGGUGGAAUGCGCAGAUAUCAGGAGGAACACCAAUGGCGAAGGCAGGUCUCUGGGCCAAUACUGACACUGAGGAGCGAAAGUCUGGGGAGCAAACAGGAUUAGAUACCCUGGUAGUCCAGACCGUAAACGGUGGGCACUAGUUGUGGGAACCUUCCACGGUUUCUGCGACGCAGCUAACGCAUUAAGUGCCCCGCCKGGGGAGUACGAUCGCAAGAUUA